rnacentral:rRNA from 1 species
UACGAAGGGGGCUAGCGUUGCUCGGAAUCACUGGGCGUAAAGCGCACGUAGGCGGCUUCUUAAGUCAGGGGUGAAAUCCUGGAGCUCAACUCCAGAACUGCCUUUGAUACUGGGAGGCUCGAGUCCAGAAGAGGUGAGUGGAACUGCGAGUGUAGAGGUGAAAUUCGUAGAUAUUCGCAAGAACACCAGUGGCGAAGGCGGCUCACUGGUCCGGUACUGACGCUGAGGUGCGAAAGCGUGGGGAGCAAACAGG